rnacentral:rRNA from 1 species
UACGUAGGGGGCAAGCGUUGUCCGGAAUCAUUGGGCGUAAAGCGCGUGUAGGCGGCUGGGUAAGUCCGCUCUGAAAGCCCGGGGCUCAACCCCGGGAGGCGGGUGGAUACUGCUCAGCUCGAGUCCGGAAGAGGAGUGUGGAAUUCCUGGUGUAGCGGUGAAAUGCGCAGAUAUCAGGAGGAACACCAAUGGCGAAGGCAGCACUCUGGGACGGUACUGACGGCUGAGACGCGAAAGCGUGGGGAGCAAACAGG